UACGUAGGGUGCAAGCGUUGUCCGGAAUUAUUGGGCGUAAAGAGCUCGUAGGCGGUUUGUCGCGUCUGCUGUGAAAACGCGAGGCUCAACCUCGCGCCUGCAGUGGGUACGGGCAGACUGGAGUGCGGUAGGGGAGAUUGGAAUUCCUGGUGUAGCGGUGGAAUGCGCAGAUAUCAGGAGGAACACCGAUGGCGAAGGCAGAUCUCUGGGCCGUAACUGACGCUGAGGAGCGAAAGCGUGGGGAGCAAACAGG
rnacentral:rRNA from 1 species